CUCAGCCCAGUGGAGAGCUGAGCUUUGGUCCCCACCUGGCAGCAGCAAUAGGGUAGAAUAAAGCCAUGCAAGGUGGAAUAAAGCCAUGAAAGGUGGUACAAGAGCUGAAUAUUUUGGAUAUUAAUCUAGGUUUACUUUUGCCAUUGAGGAGACAAAAGCGACUCCAUCUUGGAUGCUAAUCUACCAUGUUAACCUCUGAUGAGCGCCAGUCCCAUGAAUGCCUCCUGAUUCCUACUUUAUUUACUGUCCCUAGGAUGCAUGAUGUUAGACGGUUUAAAUAUGUGCAUAAAUAGAAAAGUACGUUUCUGACAAAGUUGAACAGAAAUUGGAUUGAAAAAUCCUCUUAUCCCAAAGCUGCAGAAUCUUGUGCAGUUUGGUAAAGAAGUCCCGCAUGGUCUGGUCCCUGAAGACAUUUUAAUAUGAGCCAUGACAUUAUGAUGGAUGAAAUCUGGCAUUUUACUGUAGCAAUGCUACUCCCAUGUGGAAAAUAACAGCUUGUUCAAAAGCUGGUCUUUCAGCCAGAUUUAGAAUAUACAGCUUUCUUUAUGUCAAGGCAUCCUUUGUAUGAACAAGUCGAAGUAGAAAGAACUAAUCAGCACUGAAGACUAGAGUGCAAAGAAAUUAUUCAGUGCUCAAAGAAAUCCACCCUAGGCACAAUCACAUUGCAUCGCACAUGCAGAAGAGAGUGGUGAAUUGCAACAAGUUCAGUUGGAAUAAGCACUUGAUAUUCAGAUGCUUAUCGAAACGAUUCAGAUUUCUUAGUACCAUACAACAAG